rnacentral:ncRNA from 2 species
AUAAUAAGAUGAAUUACAGGUAACGCUCCCGCAAAAAUGCGGGAGAUAAAAGGGAAUCCAUGACUCGUUAUCACAAGAGACAGGGAGCGGACCCGCCGCUGUAACCGGGGACGAAGGUCACAAUACCACUGGAAAUACCGUCGAAACGGCUUUCUGGGAAGGGUGGCCGGUUGGAUGAUCCGGGAGCCAGAAGACCUGCCUGUAAUUACUUCACGUU